CAUUCAAGUUAAUGUUUUUACACACUUCGCCUUUACUGUUGAAUACCGCAAAGAGGUCAGCCUAACACUGGAGUUCACACAAAGGGCAGCCGCAGCAUUCAACCCUGACAGAGGGAGCAAGGUCGAGAAGUCAAGGAAGCAGGG